rnacentral:tRNA from 1 species
GGUCUUAUAUUCAAUGAUGAUUUUAGACUGCAAUUCUGAAGGUGUAAUAAUAUACUAAGGCCU